CUUUCUUGAUUCGGUGGGUGGUGGUGCAUGGCCGUUCUUAGUUGGUGGAGCGAUUUGUCUGGUUAAUUCCGAUAACGAACGAGACUCUAGCCUGCUAACUAGGCGAUUUCCGGUACCCACAACAGUGUUACCGGCGAUUCAAUUUCUUCUUAGAGGGACAGGCGGCUCCUAGCCGCACGAGACUGAGCAAUAACAGGUCUGUGAUGCCCUUAGAUGUCCUGGGCCGCACGCGCGCUACACUGAAGGAAUCAGCGUGUCAUCCCUGGCCGACAGGCCCGGGUAUCACGUUGAACCUCCUUCGUGCUAGGGAUUGGGGCUUGCAAUUGUUCUCCAUGAACGAGGAAUUUCCCGGUAAGCGCGAGUCAUAAGCUCGCGUAGAUUACGUCCCUGCCCUUCGUACACACCGCCCGUCGCUACUACCGAUUGAAUGAUUUAGUGAGGUCUUCGGACUGGUGCGCGCGAUUCGUUCCACCGGCCGCCGAUGUUGCCGGAAAGAUGACC
rnacentral:rRNA from 1 species